rnacentral:lncRNA from 1 species
UUCCUGGCAGCCACGGCAGCAUUAAUGGCUUUGUUAAUGAGGUCCUUGUCAGCAUAGCAGAACUUGGCCACUUUAUGCGCAUGGUUGAAUGGCGACAGUUGGUACCGCACUGCCGACGUCCACACCUCCUCCCCACCAACCACACAGGGGAUGGAUUCAGUCCGGCCCUUCAGCUCAGCGAGCGCCUUCUGGAGAGCUGCUCGCUCGGGGCUGCCGGGCUUGAACUCGAGGAUGGGCUCGUUGGUCACCUGGAUGGCUGCAUGGUGCAGGCAUCUCCGCCCGCGGCCCCGCAGCGCCCGCCACAUCCCGCACCGCUCCGCGCCGC